AAGUCGUAACAAGGUCUCCGUUGGUGAACCAGCGGAGGGAUCAUUACUGAGUUACCGCUCUACAACCCUUUGUGAACAUACCUUACUGUUGCUUCGGCGGGCAGAGGUCCCUUCUGGGGACCCCUCCCGGCCCCGUCCCUCGCGGACGGAGCGCCCGCCGGAGGAUACCAAACUCUAUUUUAACGACGUUUCUUCUGAGUGGCACAAGCAAAUAAUUAAAACUUUCAACAACGGAUCUCUUGGUUCUG
rnacentral:misc_RNA from 1 species